rnacentral:rRNA from 1 species
AUGAGCUACUGGGGAAGUCCAGGUACCUCGUAAACCGAAAGAAGAGGCUGCCAUGAGCCGUCUCCGAUGGUACCUCUCAUGGUGGUCCUGGCCUUUGGGUGGGUCAUCUGCAAUGAGACCCUGAUGGAGUGGUAUGUGCAGGUGACUGACGUGCAGGAGACGGUGACCGACAAUACCCUCAUCUUCAUCCUCGCCUCUUUCCUGCUGCUCGCGGUCGUCCUCCCUAGCAGCCGGAUGGAAGUGGUCCUGGUGCCGACGGUGCUGGUGCUGGUCAUGCUCUUGAUCCAGAACAUCGUUGUUGCCGCGUUCCUGCUGCUGUUGGCGGUGUAUUUCGCCGGAAUAUACUACUACCCACCUCAUCGGGGCUACGGUGGCAGCGGCAAUCUCACCAACCCCGACGAUGACUGGACAGGCUCUGGGCUGGGGUUCUACCUGCUGCUGCUACUUUGCCUGGUGUUGUGCCCCAUGUUUUCAGAGGAGGGGGGCAGCUGGUGGAUCCCAGGGCUGUUGGCUGCAUGCCUGCUCUGCCUCAACCUCUUCGCAGGUGGCAAAGUCUUAGGCUAUGAAUACAUUUGA